GACGAACGCUGGCGGCGUGCUUAACACAUGCAAGUCGAACGAUGAAGCGGUGCUUGCACCGUGGAUUAGUGGCGAACGGGUGAGUAAUACGUGAGUGACCUACCUUUGACUCUGGGAUAAGCCUGGGAAACUGGGUCUAAUACCGGAUACGACCAAUCUCUGCAUGAGGUGUUGGUGGAAAGCGUUAUGGAGUGGUUUUA
rnacentral:rRNA from 1 species